GACGAACGCUGGCGGCGUGCUUAACACAUGCAAGUCGAACGAUGAAGCUGGAGCUUGCUCCGGUGGAUUAGUGGCGAACGGGUGAGUAACACGUGAGCAAUCUGCCCUUGACUCUGGGAUAACUGCGGGAAACUGUAGCUAAUACCGGAUACUUUCACUGGAAGGCAUCUUCUGGUGAAGAAAGAAUUUCGGUCAAGGAUGAGCUCGCGGCCUAUCAGCUUGUUGGUGAGGUAACGGCUCACCAAGGCGACGACGGGUAGCCGGCCUGAGAGGGUGACCGGCCACACUGGGACUGAGACACGGCCCAGACUCCUACGGGAGGCAGCAGUGGGGAAUAUUGCACAAUGGCCGCAAGCCUGGUGCAGCAACGCCGCGUGAGGGAUGAAGGCCUUCGGGUUGUAAACCUCUUUUAGCAGCGAAGAAGCGAAAGUGACGGUACCUGCAGAAAAAGCACCGGCUAACUACGUGCCAGCAGCCGCCGUAA
rnacentral:rRNA from 1 species